rnacentral:misc_RNA from 1 species
AACGCACCUUGCGCCACGUGGUAUUCCACGGGGCACGCCUGUUUGAGUGUCACGUUAAUCAUCGCGCCGUGGAUGUAACAGUCUGCGGAACGGAUUUGGACGCUUGCCGCGUUUAUGCGGCUCGUCUCGAAAUGCAUUAGCUGUCUGAAGACCGCACCGCCGGUGUAAUAAUUUCUUUGCGCCUAUGGAGUGGACUUUGAGAUGGCUUAUAACCGCCCGCAAGGGCAACAAUCUUAAGCUUUGACCUCAAAUCAGGUGGGACUACCCGCUGAACUUAA